UACGAAGGGGGCUAGCGUUGUUCGGAUUUACUGGGCGUAAAGCGCACGUAGGCGGAUUGUUAAGUCGGGGGUGAAAUCCUGGAGCUCAACUUCAGAAUUGCCUUCGAUACUGAGAGUCUCGAGUCCGAGAGAGGUGAGUGGAACUGCGAGUGUAGAGGUGAAAUUCGUAGAUAUUCGCAAGAACACCAGUGGCGAAGGCGGCUCACUGGCUCGGUACUGACGCUGAGGUGCGAAAGCGUGGGGAGCAAACAGG
rnacentral:rRNA from 1 species